ensembl:snRNA U6 U6 spliceosomal RNA
AUGCUUAUCUCGGUAGUACAUGUAUUAAAAUUGGCAAGUUAUAGAGAUUAACAUGGCCCCUGCACAAGGAUGACAUGCAAAUUCAUGGAGCAUCUCUUAUUUUU